UGAUUAGGUAUGAGAUUGUGCUGAAACAGUCUGUUGGGACUGAAGAUUUGUUUCUUGGCUUGAGCAGAAAGGAUCCCUCAUCCAUGUGUUGUGACAGCAUGCUGGUAAGAGUUAAACUGCCAGAUACAAAAGCGUCUGAUUUGGUGCUGGAUGUAAGGGAGACAUUUCUUGAUCUCAGAACUCCAAAGUAUAAGUUGGGUCUUCACCUGCCUCACCCAGUGCACAAACAGGAGGGGAAUGCCAGAUUCAUUGUGGAGAGAGAAGAACUGGAGAUUACACUGCCCAUGAACAGACCAAUGGACUGCAUCAACCUGACCUGAGAGAAACACAGAGAGAGUGACUGAACCAUGAGCUGCAUCAGUUCAGAACAGACAGUGCUGACAACUUCUACAGAUACAGUUCUGCAGCCUUCCACUGACAGUCUUGAAUUCAACCCGGAAACAUGAA